UUGUCUAUUGCCGAACUUUAUAUGCAGUUUAAGAGUCAUAACCCACUCAAGAGCGGGGUAUAGACACUUCAAUAACAUCUCCAGAAAGAAGUGUUUUGGAUACCCUCUGGUUGUAUCAGUGGAAAAUAUAAAGACCCUAAGAGAGAUCGAUAGAUUGACGGGCUAGCCAAUCACCACACGAAUUGCCUUCUCUAAAUAUGUGUAACACCUGAGUCUGCCAAUCCUUGUCUAGAAGAGCCCGAAUAGAAUGAGCAAGAGCCGAAAUAGGCAGUGCCACCCGACCCUGAUCAGUGAUGAGUUUUAUGUACAAUAUUGGAAUCAACCUCCACGAUGAUUCAUCUAAAGCCGGAAGCCCUCGCAAGCUUAAGAGUCAAGACUAGACUUGACACCCCAUAGUUCUGCAGCUACAGCUGAGGAGAGGCCAAUGUUCUGGGCGCCCAGUAAACUAGCCCCCGGCUCCUGCAUCACGGAUCGAGCUCAAGGCACCCCGGAUUGCCUUGAGAGGCUCCAUCUGUAUUUAAUUUCACCCAACCCUGGAAGGUCUGAACACAAGAGGAAAGUUGGAUCAUCUAUGUCACACAACCUGCCCUUGUAUAUCUCACCGGGGCUUCUAGCAUGGGUUCGUCUACUCUCAAUUGGAGUUCCCUGAUUCAGAUACUUGCUGAAAUUCUCGGAGGCGCAGACGAUAGCGGAAGGUGAUGGAAGGGGCAUAGUACAAGUCCACGUCGACGUCGAAGUUGGAGCCGGUCAAGUUGGUUGGAGAACGCUAGUGGCAGCGGAGAGGAUCGAUCAAUCCAAUUUGGGAUUAGGUUUCCUGAUGAUUUGCUUAAUGUUGUUGAUUUGAUUUUAGACGAUGGAGAUGUAUAGGUUUGUGUUUCUUUUGGCUUAAUUUUAAUUAAUUUCUUUUGAUUUUAAUUGUUUUAUUUUAAUCUCUUCUCUUUGCCAAGUUUAAUUGAUCCGGGCCAGUUGGGUUCCGAAAAUAUACGAACUGGGAUAGAUUUAUUCAUUCAA